GGUGUCACUUGUGCCCCUCCAGAGAGAUGGGAUGUCACUUGUGCCCCUCCAGAGAGAUGGGGUGUCCCUUGUGCCCCUCCAGAGAGAUGGGGUGUCCCUUGUGCCCCUGCAGAAAGAUGGGGUGUCCCUUGUCCUCUGGGAUGCUACAGAGCCACGGGAGUCCCAGGUACAUCCCAACUCCCACGCUUGGUCACCACAUGAGAAGAACCAAUCUGCUGCACAGAGGCACCAGGGAGGAGAUAAAACACACCUUCUGAUUCAUUGCUCAGAUGCUUGUUCAGAAAUGGAGAGGCACCCAGCUCCUGAGCUCUGAAGAGCCAGCUAGCAGUGAGGUAAAACUGCCUGCCAGGUUCUGGUGUGUGCCACAGAAACAAAGGGCAAACUAAGCAGUGUCACUUCUCUGUGUCCUACCAAGACCUUCAUAGAGGUGAGGAGCUUAAAAUAAAGAUAUCUAAGUAAUUUUCAGAUUUUUAACUAAGGCUUAACUAUCCCCUAAGUUUAUUUUUAAAAUGAUUAUUCAGGCAGGGCCAGUUUACAAAGCCUGAUCCUGAAAGGACUUCAAUCCAUGGUGGUUAUUUGUUGUUCACUUACUUACAAACCUUCUCUUAAUCAAUCAUUCAGGUUUUUCUGGUCCUUAAUCCUUAAUGGUCCUUAAUGAAAUGCUUUUCAUUGGUUUUUGCCAACUUCCUGAAACUGAAGAAAACAGCAACAAAGAUCCCUCAAAUAAAUCUUAAUAGUUACUAACGACAAUAGUAGAUACCCCUUUAUUAAUUAGGCAGAAAUAAGUCUUUAAACUAUGCAAAUGGGGUGUUUAGGGGGUUUUCUCUCUUUUUGAGCUCUCAUCUGCCCUUCUGUGCAUUGCAGCCUUGCUGAAGGACCUGUAAUUAAAUUGAGGAGAGAAGCUGCCCUCAGUAAAUGGUUCCUCCAAAAAAGUCCUCCAAAGUAGCUCAUCAACGUCCUCCUCAAGGAGUGAAAGGAUCUGGGUAAAGGCACAAGAGACGUCAGCUUGUAAGGCCAUCCACAAAACCUUCCUGCACAUGUCUGGGAGUGAAGGGAUACCUGGACAGGGACGUGGUGCCAUGGAGAGCCCAGACCCAGCUGCAGCCCUGGGUAUCCUACAGUCCAAACUCAAGAGCUGCCCCAAGGGGAUGGAAGGGAUGGAUGGUUCCGUGUCACAGGACUUGCACGGGCACUGCUUGGGGAUCAGCAGAGACCAGAAAGUAAAGAAGCCCUCAUUUUCCACAUCAGAGUGAAAAGGAGUGAGCUCUGACAGAGCACAAACCACCCAGGCAGGAGCAGCCCCUGAGCCCGUCCCUGCUGUGUCACCCAGGCACUUUCUUUCAUUCAGAGGAUUCAUUAUUUAAAUCUUAAAAUGCCUCUCUGAAACUCAGCAGAGAUAUUCCUGCUUUCAGUAAUACAUCUGCAAUAAUGCUUUCCUCCCUGCUCCAGACCUCUUUGAAAUCCAGCACUGCAGUCAGGGGCAUGUUGACAGUUUUGCAUGAAUUAAUGAAAAAGAAGUUGGAAGUGGUUGACCAAGAUUUAUUUAUUAUUCUUAAACUGACUGUGUAUCCAUGUUGCUCUUCUGAAAAGAAAAUUGAGAGAAGAAGAAACUGAAAAAAAGCUCUUGAAAUGUAUGAUUUGGAAUUCAUUCUGUACCUCAGUCUACAGGAUACAAUUGUGACACAGGUGGAGGAACUGUGCUCGAGAAUCCUUCCAGGCAUGACUUAGACAUGGAAAAUUCAGCUCUGCUGACACUGCAAGACUCCUGGACGAGCCCAGAAGUGAACCUUUAGUACCUGGUUUAUCACUAGAAGCAGAGCACUGUAGAGGUAGCUGAAGAAUUUUUGGAUUAAGACCUUUCUGUGACAGCAACCCAUGGAACUUCCUGGGUUUGUCUCCUUUGCCGUCUCCAAGAAUCUCUACCAUCACUGUGGGAGAUUGUGCUGCAAAUGGAGGCAGAAAGGGUCAUUUCUGGUUUUCCCUGGAGUGUGAACCGCCGCAGUUCCUUUGGUGAAUGACUGACACAGGGACCUCAUCCCAUGGAAUGGUUCCUUUUUUCUCUGGGUUGUUAUAGACACCUAUUCAUCAAAAGGAGGCUGCAAGGGCCAAAAAGAUGCAGCACCAGAACUUCAGGGAAGUCUUGAGCUGUUGACUAUUUGCAGGGGUAGAGAACAAGAGAAAUCCCCAGAAUUUCUCUUCUCUAGAGAGGGGAGACAGAAUUUUUAGGUGACUAUAUGCUCAACAUACUGUUUAAGGAGUCCCUGUCAGCUGUAGGCAGCCUAAUCCAGUGGAAACAUAUCCUGAAGAAUGAAAUAACACAAAUAUCUUCCUGCCUUUCCCCCUUUUUUUUUUUUUGUGUGUGUUCCUGCACAGGAAAUCUCCUCAAUGGCCAUUAUUUCUCAUCUUCUGUUCUCUUUGGCUCAUCACACACCAUGCUUUCCCACCUGGUAGUGAUUCUGAUGGAGACUCUAAAAUUAAAUUACUGCUGCCUUUUUGUGAAAGAUCUGCACAACCUGGGUGCCUGAAACACCUCUAGAUAGUAGAUGAAUAACUGACAAUUACAUUAUUUCAUUCAGAAAGAAGCAGAAGUAGUAUUUUUAUCAAAUCCCACGUGGUAGAGGCCACUGCAGAGUUCAUCUUCCCAUGCACUGAUCAAUGCAUGAGAAUUUCUGCCUCGACUUAUGUGAGCCUUGACUUCCAUCACGCUACCUAAUGCAGGAUGUGAGAAUGGAUACACCAGGAAAAAGGACUCUUAAUUUGACUUUCUUGUGUCAACUUCAGUGCAGAAAGUGGCAGAUGCCUUGGGGAGGUCUGGUCUGUUUCAUGUGAGACUGGAAAGAACCUAAAAUGUGUCCAGACCAAAAAAAAAAAAAA